CUUCCGCCAUUCUCUUCCUGUUGUUGCACCAUGGAAGCUUGCUGCUAAAUGAGAAACUUCUUCUAUAAUUAAAAAAAAUAGUCGAUGCUCUUUCACAUCUGUCUCUCCAUUUCCUCCGUCCCACUUUUCCACAUCAACUUUUUUCCCUCUUCGAUACAAUUAUACCUACACAACACAUGUAUUAGUCCGAGAAAUUCUAAAUCUGGGUAGAUUAUGGAUUUCAUCAUUUUUCAUUCAAUUUUGUUCAUAUAGAAAUUAGAAUCUCAAAAAAUGCAUGCAAUAAAAGAGAGAGUUUCAGAAACAUAAUCAAGAUUUUUUUUCGGAUUUCCCAUCAUCUCGAACUCCAGAUCAAGAACCCGAGGUACCCAUUUUUGUUUUUUCCUUUUGUGGGUCUGCAAAAUUAAGUUACUAUUUGAUUGAACCCAAUGUUUGAAUUGAUUGUGAGAUUUUUUAUGAUUUUUUAUUAAUUAAAAUUGUUUCUUGUGUCUGAUCCGUGAAAAAAAUUUGUGGGUUUGAGUUUUGGAUACAAUGUGUAUGUAAAUAAGUUGAAUUCCGUGAAUGCUUGAGAAAUUUUUUUAGCUUAUGAUGUUAAUUGAGUUUAUAAUUUGAUUUCGUUUGACAUGCUAAUAGACUUGAUAAACCAAGAUCAGUUAGCAUUUUAUACUUUAUGAAUUUUAACCCCUUGUCUAGGUAAUAUAAAUCUUCUUUUUAGCAGUAAACUCCCAUGGUGCAAAAGGAAGAAGAUGGAGGAAGAAGUCGAAUGAUUUUUGUUUUUUUUUUUUUAAUUAUGUAUUUGUGAUUAAUUUGUAAUUUUUUGAAAAUUUG
rnacentral:lncRNA from 1 species